CUGUAGAAAGCGUCUGUAGCGCACGCGGCUUUAUGAGAUUGCGCAGACACGCGCUAACGGGAUGACGGGCUGGAUGAGCUGAAGCGUUUCACAAACCUCUGAUCUUUACACAGCACAACAACUAAAAACAAACAAACAAGAAACUUCAGACUGAACAUUUCUAUUAAAAACAGCAAGGAUAUCGGCUAAUGAUGACUAUAGACGCGCCAGUGAUUUUGUCCGCACUUUUCUUCACAAUAAUUGCCAUCAUAGUUGCGUCGACGCUUCUGGCGAGGAAAUCUGCGCCAAAGAAAGAAACCAAGAGACGCGAGGAGGAGAACUCAGAUUUGAAUCAAUCCAGAGACAGAGAGGAGACAUCUGUUGCUCAUGUAAGAGCUGAGAUACAUCAACAAACACCUGUGCAGGCAGCGGUAGACGUAGAGGCGAAGAUCGUCACUGAGCUGAAAAAUGAGGAGCCCGUUACAGUCGCCCCUGUUAUUGAGGAGGUUGGUGUUGUGGAGGAAACAUCUGCUGUGGAACCUGAAGUCAUCUCUGUUCAAGUGGCACCUGUUCAGGCAGCUCUAGUGCCAGAGCCUGUUCCUGAGGAUGUUGUAGAACCCACACCUGUGGAGAAGCUCACCCAUGCACCAGAGCCAGUGGCUGCGUUAAUAGAGGAGCAAGUGGCAGAAUCAGUCACAGUGGUGCUCAGGUCCGAGUCUGCCCCUAAGCCAGAAUCUGUGGCCAUCUCUGAACUUGAAUCUGUGCCUGUCUCUGAAUCGGAAUCUGUGCCCGUCUCUGAACCAAAAUCUGUAUCCAUUCUUGAAACUGAAUCUGCGCCCAUCUCUGAACCGGAAUCUGCGCUCGUGGAAUCUGCGCCCGUCUCUGAACCGGAAUCUGCGCCCAUCUCUGAACCGGAAUCUGCGCCCGUCUCUGAACCGGAAUCUGCGCCCGUCUCUGAACCGGAAUCUGUGCAUGUCUCUGAACCGUUAUCUGCGCCCAUCCCUGAAGCGGAAUUUUCGCCCAUCCCUGAACCGGAACCUGCGCCCGUCUCUGAACCGGAACCUGCGCCCGUCUCUGAACCGGAACCUGCGCCCGUCUCUGAACCGGAACCUGCGCCCGUCUCUGAACCGGAACCUGCGCCCGUCUCUGAACCGGAACCUGCGCCCGUCUCUGAACCGGAACCUGCGCCCGUCUCUGAACCGGAACCUGCGCCCGUCUCUGAACCGGAACCUGCGCCCGUCUCUGAACCGGAACCUGCGCCCGUCUCUGAACCGGAAACUGCGCCCGUCUCUGAACCGGAAACUGCGCCCGUCCCUGAACCGGAAUCUGCGCCCGUCCCUGAACCGGAAUCUGUGUCUAUCCCUGAAUUGGAAUCUGUGCCAGUCUCUAAACUUGAAUCUGUCCCUGUCUCUGAACAGAAAUCUGUGUCUAUCCCUAAAUCCAAAUCUGUGCCCGUCCUUGAACCUGAAUCUGUACCCAUCCCUGAACCUAAGUCUACGCCCAUCCCAGAAUCAGAACCUGUGCUUGUCUCUGAAUCCUUGCCCGUCCCUCAAUCCUCACCCAUCCCUGAACAUGAAUCCUUGCCCCUCCCUGAACCUGUCCACAUCCCUGAGCCACAACAUGUGCCUGAAGCAAAAUCUGGCUCUGCUCCUGAACCAGAAUCUGUGCCGUCACUAGAAUCAGAAUUUGCCCCCAAUCUUGAGCCAAAGUCUGCACCCAUCCCUGAACUGGAAUCUGUGCCCUCCUCUGCACUGGAAUCUUCACCUAUACCUGAACCGCAAUCUGCUCCAAUCCUUGAAUCAGAAUCUGAACCCAUCCCUGAGCCACAACCUGUGCCUGAAGCAAAAUCUGAAUCCGUCCCUGAACCAGAAUCUGCACCCAUCCCUGAAUCAGAAUCUGCACUUAUCCCUGAACCAAAAUCUGAAUCCGUCCCUGAACUGGAAUCUGCUCCAAUCCCUGAGCCAAAGUCAGCACCCAUCCUUGAAUCAGAAUCUGAUCUCAAAUCUGCACUCGCCUCUGAGCCCACCCCUGAACCAUCAUCUGCGCCUGCCCCAGAGACCUCUCCAGCAGCUGAAACUGUUCCAGAGAUCGUAGAGCUUAAUGAUGUUGCAGCUGCGCCAGGGGUAGAUGAUGGUAAGACCCCCGCAAUCGUGCCUGAUAAGAAGAGGACCACCAAGUUUGAGGGGAGAUUGACCAAAGAAGAGAUGGAGGAAGAGCAAAGGAUAGAGUUCACAAAUGACUUUACCUCUCUUUAAAACGUCAGCAGGCGAUAUUGCCUGUUUCAGGUCACUGUGUGGAUGAUAAGACUUUCUCUCCUGGAUGUUUCCGGUUCUCCUGGGGUUCAGUCCGCAGUUUAACCGCUGCAUGAUUAACACGCUCCGCUAAGCUUUUAACAAUAACAUCUGACACCAGAGCUGCUGAUGAGUUGCUGAGUAAGCAGAACUUGGUGGGCGAGAGGAAACAGUGCCCUAAAAAUGAACCUUCAAGACCUUCAAGGGACAACUUUUAUUGACUGUGUCAAAAAAGUAUUGAGAUAGAAAAUAAGCAUUGCCUUUUUUAGUCUUUUUUUUUGUAUAGGUCACAUUGCAGGAUGGCCUAUGAAUAGUGAGCUUUAUCAAGCAAAAUGCCAAAGAAUAGAAAAUAAUUAUAUUAUUAUUUAAAUGUUUUGUCAUAAGGAAGCUUUCUUUUAGUUUAACAGUAUUGUUAAAUGUCCCUUACAAAAAGAUUUAAGACUGUAAAUAGAGGAAUUGUCAGUAAACCAGCUGUUUACUGUUGUUUUUGUUUGUAUUUUCUUUCUUUGAUCAUUUAAAAAUACACAUUGUAUCCAGCAUGCUCUUCUGAAAUAUCAGCACGACUCCUUGUGGACAGACAGCGCUAUGACAGACUGUUGAGUCAGAGUUUCAUGAAAUAAAGAUGAUGGAUUUUGUUGUUGUUAUUGUGGUAUAAUAAUUAGGGUAAUGGUUGAACCUCUCACAUAACAUGACCAGAUCAAUGUAUACAUCAGAAAUACAAAAAAUAAUUACACUUUUAUGAAAAAAAGCUGUUUUAGGACUCUUAUUACCAUUUUAUUUA